UGCACUCUGCACUUUAAGUCGCUCUGGAUAAGAGUGUCUGCUAAAUGACAAAUG
rfam:Salmo salar isolate Sally breed double haploid chromosome ssa09, whole genome shotgun sequence.